AGCAGUCGCCACGGUAAUACGGAGGGUGCAAGCGUUGUCCGGAUUUAUUGGGUUUAAAGGGUGCGUAGGCGGCUGUUUAAGUCAGCGGUGAAAGACUCCGGCUCAACCGGAGCAGUGCCAUUGAUACUGGAUAGCUUGAGUGUUGGAGGGGUACAUGGAAUUGAUGGUGUAGCGGUGAAAUGCAUAGAUACCAUCAGGAACACCGAUAGCGAAGGCAUUGUACUGGCCAACAACUGACGCUGAGGCACGAAAGCAUGGGGAGCGAACAGGAUUAGAUACCCGCGUAGUCCCUGUCUCUUAUAC
rnacentral:rRNA from 1 species